GAUGUUAUUGCAAGUUUUAA
rnacentral:miRNA from 1 species